UUGCCCCCGCCGCGCAAAGCGGGCUGGGGAUGCGCGCCCGGCUGAGGCGCAGGCAUGGGUGGGGGGGGGAGGAAGCAGCAAACGCGCCCUCAGGCGAUCCGAAAUAGAAGGGUGACUCCCUUGCCUGCCUGCCUGACUCAAUCAACUCAGCAAAACCACCUCCGCUCCCCAACUCACUGCCCGGUGUGGGAGCGAGAGGACACACGCGCGCGCAACGGGACGGAACGCGCAACUGUACACGCAAAACGCGAUAGCGGGGGUAGCGCAAGAGCGGUGAGCCUCCGGGAGGCGGCCCCUCGCGCGACGGCGGCACGCAAGACCAUAUAAAGCUCCCGAGGGCAAGGAGGGAGGGGGCAGAAAUUGAAAUCCGCCGGCCGCUCUCGCGCCCGCCAACGGUUUGCCCCGCUUUGCCCAACGGCCAAGCGAAACUUCUCCAGCUGCCAGGUUAAAGCGAGGCGGCUCUCCUCAGACGAGGCUGGUCUGGAGUGUCGUGAGAGGGCGGCAAGCGGCUAUUCGGUUUCGUUCCUAGAAGGUGGUUCUGGUGGGGUUUUUAUGCAUCAGCAGGACUCAGCUCUGGUAUUGGAAGGAAAAUUCCACUCAGCUCUGGCACAGAUGGGGAACGCUCAACAAAUGGGGUCUUAAAAUAAUUCCCAGUUGCAUUAAGCUAUCACAGCAUCUCCAGAAUCCCAACUCUGCUCAAAGCCUCACAUGCACCCUCUCAGCACAUCUAGUUGCCUCAAGUGCCCGAAGAAGAGGUGGGGGCAAUGAACAACAGGACAAGAACUGAGAAUAUCUUUGAUAUCUCUGGAUCAUCCCUAUACCUGGUGUGCAUGUAUUUGCAUUACUAAGUUAAAAGCUUACCCAGUUCUUCCAGAGCUUGUAAUUCUGCAAAGCAGCAAGGCAUCUCUGGAUAGAACAUGUAGCAUUCUUCUUUAUUUUCUGAGGAAACAAACAAAAAAAAAGUCUUCAGAGAUAUGCUUUCAUCUACUUACCUUUGCCCUGGAAUUUCUUUAUCAAUCCCUGGAUGAUCUGUCACACACAAUGAAAAAGACAGCUAUGAGUAUAUAGAUAGAAUCUCUGAUAUUUCUAAUAACUGAGUCUUGGGACCAACUGGCUUGCUCCGUUGAUGGGAAGCCUAUCUUUUACCAUAUGCUGCUGAAAGCGGCUGGGGAGCGCGGGCCGCCAACCAGCUGGGAGGUGAAUGUGCAGCUCCCCCUGCCACCGCCAAGACUGGAAAGGUUUCAGCAUCCCCUUUAUCAUCUUCACUGUCAUCAAAAACACUGUGUCACUACUCAGCUCAGGUACAACUGGAAACUGGUGCUGCAGCUUAGAAAAAUAGUUAUUUUAGAUCAAAAUUCUUUUUUCCCACUUCCACAAAACCAAUUUGCACAGUAUAUGCUUGGCAGUGGCUGGGGGAGCUGCACGCUCGCCUCCCAGCUAGUUGGUGGCCCGCUCUUCAGCCGCUUUCAGCAGUAUAUGGUACUCCUGCGGCUCCUGCGGACUUUUCUACGAGGGAGAAGGGACUGACUUGCUGCCUCAGUCCCUUCUCCCACCUGGGGAAAACCCCGCAAUAGCCACGCGGAGCUUGUGUGCGGCUCUUGGGGGCUUUUCCUGCUUGCCUCCCCGUUUCACUCCAUAAGACGCACACACAUUUCCCCUUACUUUUUAGGAGGGAAAAGGUGCGUCUUAUGGAGCGAAAAAUACGGUAAUUCUAGUUAGUUUAGGUUUAGGGUUUUAGUUACCGGUAUAUCGAAAUGAUUGUAGAGAGCUGCACACAUGGCCAACCAGCUGGGAGAUGGGCGUGCAGCUCCCUAGCCUCCAAACUGGUUGGUAGCCUGCACUCCCCAGCCACUUUCAGCAGUAUAUGGUAAAAUGUCGCGAAUAUAAGCUGCACUUUAACUUUUCAGGGUCUGAAACUGGAAAACAGUGCAGCUUAUAUUUGGAGGUACUUCCUUUUAUUUAUCACUUACCUCUAAGAGGGCUAUCAGCAUAGAAAAGAUACAAAUAAAGAAGACGACAAUCAUUUUUAUAACAUUGAUACUGGUACCCUCAAGCACCAGUAGUCAACUGCCGGUUGUCAUCUGUUGAGCAAGCUUCAAAUCAUAAGGGGAUAGAGAGAAGAAAGGUGAUUGGCUGAGUAGAUGAUGAUAUCAUAGGUGGGUUCUGUUAAGUCAUUAUAUAUUGGGGGUGGCUGGGGGAACAGCACGCCCAUUUCCCAGCUGGUUGGCGGGCGUGCUCUCCCUAGCUGCUUGGCAGUGGGAGUGGGGUGGCACAUGUCCAACCAGCUGGGAGGCGGGCACACAGCUUCCCCAGCCACCGGCAAUAUACAAUGCCUCAACACAAUCCACCUAUGACAUCAUCUACUCAGCCAAUCACCUUUCUCUCCGGUUAUGAUUUGAAACUUGCUCAACAGAUGACAACUUGAGAUUUUUUUAUUGGCGAGACCCAGGAGUUAAAGCAGGCUUCAAAAACCUCAGCCCUCCAGAUGUUUUGAAACUACAAUUCCCAUCAUCCCUGACCCCUGGUCCUGCUAGCUAGGGAUCAUGGGAGUUGUAGGUCAAAAACAUCUGGAGGGCCAAGGUUGAAGAAGCCUGAGCUAAGGCAUUUUUGCCUGCACGGCCGGGCCCUGCAACACUAUUGGCUAAGGCAGUGUUUCCCAACCUUGGGCCUCCAGCUGGUUUUGAACUACAAUUCCCAUCAUCCCUGACCACUGGUCUUGCUAGCUAGGGAUGAUGGGAGUUGUAGUCCAAAAACAGCUGGAGGCCGAAGGUUGGGAAACACUGGGCUAAGGAUCUGUUUUAUCUGCUUAUUAGUUACCGUAUUUUUCGCUCCAUAAGGCGCACCUAGUUUUAGAGGGGGAAAUCAAGAAAAAAAGCCUGUCCGCUUCUCCCAGAGCUUCU